rnacentral:rRNA from 1 species
UACGAAGGGGGCUAGCGUUGUUCGGAAUCACUGGGCGUAAAGCGCAUGCAGGCGGAUUGUUAAGUCGGGGGUGAAAUCCCGAGGCUCAACCUCGGAACUGCCUUUGAUACUGAGAAGCUUGAGUCCGGGAGAGGUGAGUGGAACUGCGAGUGUAGAGGUGAAAUUCGUAGAUAUUCGCAAGAACACCAGUGGCGAAGGCGGCUCACUGGCCCGGUACUGACGCUGAGGUGCGAAAGCGUGGGGAGCAAACAGG